GCAAGGGGUUCGACACUCAAAAAAGGACUAGAAAAUGAAAAAAUUUGAUGCGCGGGAAUCAGUUCUACAAAUAAAAGAGAAGAAAAAGAUGCUUGAAACGCCCCAAUAUGAUAUAGUCCAAAUGAGAAAAAAAGGGGAAGUGGCGACUAAAAAUUUAUUUUUCGUCACUUUGAGAAGUAAGAGUUGAAUGUAGACUACUUUGUCGUGCGGUUCUGAACACCUGUAUCUGCGAUCUAGUGCCAAGAGUGACGAAAAUGGGGGAAAACUGUGUUUUUUCUAUUCUGCAUACAGAAUUUGACAUAAAUGUUACCCCAAAAAUCAAGUGCAUAUUAUUAAAGCUCGGUUAUAGUUCUUUUCGUACUUUGGCUCGAAUAAAUCCCGAUUGUGCUGAA
rnacentral:lncRNA from 1 species